UUUCAUUGGUUGGUUUUAUAUCCUGAUGUCACAUUGCGGUUUGUUUGUCCGGUUAAGCUAGUUUUUUGGAAAACUUGUAGCCGAACCUUUCUUCAAAAAUGACUUCAUGAACCAAAUAAAAAGGGAGUCAAUGAGGAAGAGAAAGAAGUAAAAAUGACUUUCUGAGAGAAUUACAUUCAAUCAAAUCGUCUCUCUUCCUGUUCGUCUCCGUCUUUUUGAUGCUGACUCGAUGCAGCUCACAGCAUCCAGGCCGUGCGACGGUGUGACGCUCCAAUCAGCAGCACUCACUGAAGGCUUGGCCGCAUAAACAACCAAUUACUGUGGACGUGGGGCGUGUCCACUCGGGAGGCUGUACCACUAUCAGAUGGAGAGGCUUCCCUCACCAUUCACACACCAACCUGUUCAUGCCAGGAAGGUUACCCCAGAAGUAACGGGCACGGUGGGCAGCCGACACCUCCUUGGCAUCGAUCAUCACUGGGUUGCACUGGAAUCGAAGUGAAGCAGAGGGGACAAGACACCAGUCAGAGAGGAACGGAGAUGUCUGCCACUCACCCUGAGCAAAGGCCUCAAGCACGUCCCCUCCCACUCCUGCCAGGCAGUCCUGUGGUGUGUGAGUCGGGGUGGACCCAGCUGAGGUGGAGCGUAUGGGCAUGGGCAUGGAGCAGCCAGCACCGUGACUGGGAGAAGAAUGAGGGGAGCCUCCAGACUGGGACUGCAACAUAAGACAAUUGGAAUACAUCAGGAGGAAGAUGCCCCUGUAAGAGAUGUGCUGCUGGUGAUGGAUGAUACCUGAGGAGCCGCAGUUCAGUCAGGAGUGUGGGGUUCUGCUGGGCUUUUUCUGGGGUUGGCUGAGAGGCCUGCUCGUGCUCCAAACGCAGUCGCUGGAUCUCCUGGAGGAUCUCCCUGAAAGAAGAUAUCGGUGAGCUGGCUGGGGAAAACACUCCAGCACCCGUGGUCUGUGCAAAUGAUAAUUCUCCAUGACAUCGCGCUCAGCAGUGACUGCAUCCUGUGGGCUAAUGACACCGGCCGAGCUGCAGAGGAACCACUUAAUGAUGACGGACAUGGAGCACGGUACAGCUGGCCAAUGAGGGAGAAGCUCUGGGUGCACCAGACGGCCUCAAACAGAGAGACCCAAAAUAUGACAGGAUCACAUGCAUGUUCAAGGACUUGGAUUUCCUGACCCGUGGCGACUCAGAGCCCCUCUCUCUGAUGGGAACGGUUACCAGAAGAUCUCUCAUCAGCCUGGGAGAAAAGGCUCUCUCCAGGCAGAAUCCCACUAUUCUUAAAUUCAAGCUGUUAUAAUGUGAAGGAGGAAGGAUGUGAACAUGCAAAUAAGGGUGCCUGAGACCAAAAUUUUGCAUCUCAUCUCUGCUGCACUCCUGCCAACUGUCCUCCUGAAUGUCCGAGCCACACUCACCUGGUAUCUUGACGGGGCCCCAGUUGCUGAGGCAACAGCCAUCUGUGCAUAUUGGCUGAUUGGCCUCUUGUAUCCCACAGCUGAGAGAGGCCUCCUCCUGACCUGAGUGGGUGCACUAAGAUAAGGACAUGAGAAAAGGAGGGUUUAGAUUCAGUGUAAGACGAGGUUUAACUGUUGAUAGAGAACUCCAGGAACCCAAAGUUCUCCUUGUAUGCUCAACUGUGCAGCUCCAACCUGGCAAGUCUCUCUCAUUAUCUCCCCUGUGCCAUCUUCUUUUCACCCUGCUUGUUAGUUAAGACUAACAAGAGGGAGUCUUGUUAGUUUGGGUGUCAGGUUCUGUAUCAUAUAAAGAGACCUGUUUCUUGGCCAUGCAGAAUGCAGAAAGGAUCUAUUACAUGUAUGGUUAGGUUGUUUUGCAGCUCCCCUGUCUCUAAUAUAAAAUAUUCUGAGUUUGGCGACUCCUAGUGGUCGUGCCAAAAAUGACACCAAUAAAACACUGUGGCCAUGAGAGUAAUAUGACAGAUGCUUUAAAAAUACUUCUGCAAAAGGAGGCACUGUAAUACAAUCUAUUACUUUCACUGAAGGCUAAUCAGUUUUUCAUUUUGUUAUAGCCUCUGACUUUAAACCAGCCUAAAUUAGUUAUACAGAGAAUGAUUGUGCAGGUGCAUUCAGGUGUAUCACGUGGAGGUCAAAAGAACAAUAUAGCAGCAGCAGAGUUAAAGUUUCACCAGUUAUAACAAAGUAAUGUUUUUUUAAUAUUACUCUACAGCUCAGAGUGUAGUCAGAAAGUUAGGCCCUAAUAAUGACAAUAACAAAAACGUUUUGAAAAAGUAGCAUAAGGAGUUGUUAUAUUUUGUUGUUUAAAGGGGCGGUGGGAGGUAAUGUAUCUGAUGUUACUUACAGUUGUGGAUAAAUAUCAACUUUCCUCAAACACUGAGUAAAAAAAAUGAGCCACUUGCCCAGUUGCAUUGAUAAUCAUGCAGCAAUGAUCUCACAGAGUGGAGUACUUAAUGCCACAUGUGCUCCAGUGAACUGACCUCUCUGAUGGAAGAACUGGGUGGAGUCUCCACUGAUCCUCCUCACUGUCAAAGUGCAACCUGUGCAUUAUCUUGUUCUUUUCCCCAGGAGGGAUAAAGUUCUCAAUCAGGAGAUAUCUGCAACACGAAAUAAAAGUCAGCUCAAGUCUGAGUCUUUUCAUGUGAAA